GACGAACGCUGGCGGCGUGCUUAACACAUGCAAGUCGAACGGUAAGGCCCUUCGGGGUACACGAGUGGCGAACGGGUGAGUAACACGUGGGUGAUCUGCCCUGCACUUCGGGAUAAGCCUGGGAAACUGGGUCUAAUACCGGAUAGGACCCUGGGAUGCAUGUCCUGGGGUGGAAAGCUUUUGCGGUGUGGGAUGGGCCCGCGGCCUAUCAGCUUGUUGGUGGGGUGAUGGCCUACCAAGGCGACGACGGGUAGCCGGCCUGAGAGGGUGACCGGCCACACUGGGACUGAGAUACGGCCCAGACUCCCACGGGAGGCAGCAGUGGGGAAUAUUGCACAAUGGGCGCAAGCCUGAUGCAGCGACGCCGCGUGAGGGAUGACAGCCUUCGGGUUGUAAACCUCUUACAGCACCGACGAAGCGCAAGUGACGGUAGGUGCAGAAGAAGGACCGGCCAACUACGUGCCAGCAGCCGCCGUAA
rnacentral:rRNA from 1 species